AAUCAACGCUGGCGGCGUGCCUCAGACAUGCAAGUCGAACGAGAAAGUUUCCUUCGGGAGACGAGUACAGUGGCGUCCGGGUGAGUAACACGUGGGUAAUUUACCUUUGGGUGGGAAUAGCAGCCGGAAACGGCUAUUAAUACCGCAUAAUGCAGCGGCUCGACAUCGAGACAGUUGUUAAAGCGGGGAGUCUGACAAGGACCUCGCGCCUAAAGAGAAGCCUGCGUCAGAUAGCUAGUUGGUAGGGUAAUGGCCUACCAAGGCUGUGAUCUGUAGCCGGCCUGAGAGGGCGGUCGGCCACACUGACACUGACACACGGGUCAGACUCCUACGGGAGGCAGCAGUCGGGAAUUUUGGGCAAUGGGCGCAAGCCUGACCCAGCAACGCCGCGUGAAGGAU
rnacentral:rRNA from 1 species